rnacentral:rRNA from 1 species
GUGCCAGCCGCCGCGGUAAGACGAACCGUACGAACGUUAUUCGGAAUCACUGGGCUUAAAGGGUGCGUAGGCGGCUUUGCAAGUCGGGUGUGAAAGCCCUCGGCUCAACCGAGGAAUUGCGCCCGAAACUGCCGAGCUUGAGGGACACAGAGGUAAGCGGAACUUAGGGUGGAGCGGUGAAAUGCGUUGAUAUCCUAAGGAACACCAGGAGCGAAAGCGGCUUACUGGGUGUCUACUGACGCUGAGGCACGAAAGCCAGGGGAGCGAAGAGGAUUAGAUACCCCCGUAGUCC